UUAAAUUGAAGAGUUUGAUCAUGGCUCAGAUUGAACGCUGGCGGCAGGCCUAACACAUGCAAGUCGAACGGUAACAGGAAGCAGCUUGCUGCUUUGCUGACGAGUGGCGGACGGGUGAGUAAUGUCUGGGAAACUGCCUGAUGGAGGGGGAUAACUACUGGAAACGGUAGCUAAUACCGCAUAACGUCGCAAGACCAAAGAGGGGGACCUUCGGGCCUCUUGCCAUCGGAUGUGCCCAGAUGGGAUUAGCUAGUAGGUGGGGUAACGGCUCACCUAGGCGACGAUCCCUAG
rnacentral:rRNA from 1 species